rnacentral:rRNA from 1 species
ACAACAGUUGGAAACGACUGCUAAUACCGCAUAAGCCCACGGUGCUGCAUGGCACUGCGGGAAAAGGAUUUAUUCGCUCUAGGAUGGACUCGCGUCCAAUUAGCUAGUUGGUGAGGUAACGGCCCACCAAGGCGACGAUUGGUAGCCGGACUGAGAGGUUGAACGGCCACAUUGGGACUGAGACACGGCCCAGACUCCUACGGGAGGCAGCAGUGGGGGAUAUUGCACAAUGGGGGAAACCCUGAUGCAGCGACGCCGCGUGGAGGAAGAAGGUUUUCGGAUUGUAAACUCCUGUCGUUAGGGACGAUAAUGACGGUACCUAACAAGAAAGCACCGGCUAACUACGUGCCAGCAGCCGCGGUAAAACGUAGGGUGCAAGCGUUGUCCGGAAUUACUGGGUGUAAAGGGAGCGCAGGCGGACCGGCAAGUUGGAAGUGAAAACUAUGGGCUCAACCCAUAAAUUGCUUUCAAAACUGCUGGCCUUGAGUAGUGCAGAGGUAGGUGGAAUUCCCGGUGUAGCGGUGGAAUGCGUAGAUAUCGGGAGGAACACCAGUGGCGAAGGCGACCUACUGGGCACCAACUGACGCUGAGGCUCGAAAGCAUGGGUAGCAAACAGGAUUAGAUACCCUGGUAGUCCAUGCCGUAAACGAUGAUUAAAAGGUGUUGGAGGAUUGACCCCUUCAGUGCCG